GAGGAAAAGAAACUAACAAGGAUUCCCCUAGUAACGGCGAGUGAAGUGGGAAAAGCUCAACUUUGUAAUCUGGCAGCUUUGCUGUCCGAGUUGUAGUCUCGAGAAGUGUUUUCCGCGCUGGAUCGUGUAUGAGUCUGUUGGAAUACAGCGUCAUAGAGGGUGAGAACCCCGUUCGUGACACGACUACCAGUGCUUUGUGAUACAUUUUCGAUGAGUCGAGUUGUUUGGGAAUGCAGCUCAAAUUGGGUGGUAAAUUCCAUCUAAAGCUAAAUAUUGGCGAGAGACCGAUAGCAAACAAGUACCGUGAGGGAAAGAUGAAAAGCACUUUGGAAAGAGAGUUAACAGUACGUGAAAUUGUUGAAAGGGAAACGUUUGAAGUCAGACGUGCGUUGUGCGAUUCAGCUCCGGUUCGCCGGAGUGUAUUUCGUACUAUUGCAGGCCAGCAUCGGUUUGGCGAGUCGGAUAAAGGUUAGAGAAAGGUAGCGGCUCCGGCCGUGUUAUAGUCUUUAACUGAAUACGAAUUGCUAGACCGAGGGACGCAGCGCGCCGCAAGGCAAAGCUCUCGGGCUUUUCGCGCUUAGGAUGCUGGUGAAAUGGCUUUAAA
rnacentral:rRNA from 1 species